UACAGAGGUCUCGAGCGUUGUUCGGAUUCAUUGGGCGUAAAGGGCGCGUAGGCGGCGGGGUAAGUCUGGUGUGAAAUCUCGGAGCUUAACUCCGAAACUGCAUUCGAUACUGCCGUGCUUGAGGACUGGAGAGGAGACUGGAAUUUACGGUGUAGCAGUGAAAUGCGUAGAUAUCGUAAGGAAGACCAGUGGCGAAGGCGGGUCUCUGGACAGUUCCUGACACUGAGGCACGAAGGCCAGGGGAGCAAACGGG
rnacentral:rRNA from 1 species